rnacentral:tRNA from 1 species
GGUUGUGGCUCAGAGGUAGAGCGCUUGCCUAGCAUGCAUGAGGCACUGGGUUCCAUACUCAGCACCA